rnacentral:rRNA from 1 species
CCUACGGGAGGCAGCAGUGAGGCAUAUUGGUCAAUGGACGAGAGUCUGAACCAGCCAAGUAGCGUGAAGGAUGACUGCCCUAUGGGUUGUAAACUUCUUUUAUAAAGGAAUAAAACGAGGCACGUGUGCCUUUUUGCAUGUCCUUUGUGAAUAAGGAUCGGCUAACUCCGUGCCAGCAGCCGCGGUAAUACGGAGGAUCCGAGCGUUAUCCGGAUUUAUUGGGUUUAAAGGGAGCGUAGAUGGGUUGUUAAGUCAGUUGUGAAAGUUUGCGGCUCAACCGUAAAAUUGCAAUUGAUACUGGCAGUCGUGAGUACAGUUGAGGUAGGCGGAAUUCGUGGUGUAGCGGUGAAAUGCUGAGAUAUCACGAAGAACCCCGAGUGCGAAGGAAGCUUACUAACCUGUGACUGACAUUGAUGCUCGAAAGUGUGGGUAUCAAACAGGAUUAGAUACCCUGGUAGUC